rnacentral:rRNA from 1 species
UACGUAGGUGGCAAGCGUUGUCCGGAUUUACUGGGCGUAAAGAGCGCGCAGGCGGUCGUUCAAGUCGCGUGUGAAAGCCCCCGGCUCAACCGGGGAGGGUCACGCGAUACUGAUCGACUCGAAGGCAGGAGAGGGAAGUGGAAUUCCCGGUGUAGUGGUGAAAUGCGCAGAUAUCAGGAGGAACACCAAUGGCGAAGGCAGCACUCUGGGACGUGACUGACGCUGAGACGCGAAAGCGUGGGGAGCAAACAGG